GCUGGUGUGGCGAAAUUGGCAAACGCGGUGACCUGUCACGUCACUGGGCGAAAGCCCGUGUGGGUUCGAGUCCCACCACCAGCACCC
rnacentral:tRNA from 1 species